UUUCAAGCCACCACAGCCAUCAAGUCCGGUUGAGAAACGCACUGCCAUCAACCCUGCCAACGCUCUUGCCUGCAAAUGACCCACAGCUGCUCGUCCAUGACUGUCACAGAGCUGAGGACUGAACCCAGGGCCUUGCUAGUUUUUAUAAGUACCUUUUCUGGGAACCAACAAAAAUGAGGCUGGAGAGAUGGC